UGACCAAGCCAGCUCAGUCAACAGUGU
rnacentral:misc_RNA from 1 species